rnacentral:rRNA from 1 species
GAUGAACGCUGGCGGCGUGCCUAAUACAUGCAAGUCGAGCGAACAGACGAGGAGCUUGCUCCUCUGACGUUAGCGGCGGACGGGUGAGUAACACGUGGAUAACCUACCUAUAAGACUGGGAUAACUUCGGGAAACCGGAGCUAAUACCGGAUAAUAUAUUGAACCGCAUGGUUCAAUAGUGAAAGACGGUUUUGCUGUCACUUAUAGAUGGAUCCGCGCCGCAUUAGCUAGUUGGUAAGGUAACGGCUUACCAAGGCAACGAUGCGCAGCCGACCUGAGAGGGUGAUCGGCCACACUGGAUCUGAGACACGGUCCAGACUCCUACGGGAGGCAGCAGUAGGGAAUCUUCCGCAAUGGGCGAAAGCCUGACGGAGCAACGCCGCGUGAGUGAUGAAGGUCUUCGGAUCGUAAAACUCUGUUAUUAGGGAAGAACAAAUGUGUAAGUAACUAUGCACGUCUUGACGGUACCUAAUCAGAAAGCCACGGCUAACUACGUG